ensembl:lncRNA
AUCUACAACUCAAGAGAAACCCUGAGCCCACGUGCUGGAGACUCUCCUUAUCUUACAGAUGCCUGCAUCCCAAAUGCCUCCCUUUCUUGUCCCCAGUUGUCCGUGCUUGGUUCUGGAUGGUGGCAACUCCAAGUUGUGUAGCCCUUUUCUGAACUGUUUGCUUCCCACCAACCCUGGCUCCAACCCAAGCAAAGCCCAGCUUGGAUGACAGAAGCUGUCAAAAGGAAGAAUCCUCAUCCUACCCUUCAUCCUACUCUUCUACCUCCUGGAAACUAGGACACCAGCCUCUGAACUCACUAGAAUAUGCAAGGGGUUCAAGACAUAUGGAAAAUGGGAUCUUGGGGUGCCACCAUUGUAUGCCCUCUGAACUACUACCUAGAUGGCCCAGCAAGGAUAUAGGAGCCCCGGGGCCUUGUGAUGUAAAG